rnacentral:rRNA from 1 species
GGAUUAGAUACCCUGGUAGUCCUAGCUGUAAACGAUGAUCACUGGGUGUGGGGGGUCGAACCUCUGUGCCGAAGCUAAUGCGAUAAGUGAUCCGCCUGGGGAGUACGUUCGCAAGAAUGAAACUCAAAGGAAUUGACGGGGACCCGCACAAGCGGUGGAGCAUGUGGUUUAAUUCGACGCAACGCGAGGAACCUUACCAGUCCUUGACAUCCUAAGAAUUUAGUGGAGACACUUUAGUGCCCCUUCGGGGGAACUUAGAGACAGGUGGUGCAUGGCUGUCGUCAGCUCGUGCCG